GGCAUACACUCUGAGCGAGCCCAGAGAAAAUUCUUACAAGAGCAACGUGUAUCUGAGAGCGUGCGCCCAGUUCCCGCGCGCGAGCAGAGAGAUUCGCGCUCCGCUCAUUAUAUUCCGCGCUCGAGGAGAGAGAUUCGCGCUCCGCACAUUAUAUCCCGCGCGCGAGCAGAGAGAUUCGCGCUCGCGCAUUUUAUUAAUGUACUUUCAUGCUACAAUAAUGCACUCUCGACAUUUGACAGGGAAAUACACCAUACCAUUCAAGUCAAAAAGACUCUCGGGCUGUUUUCUCUGCUGCACACACAUCCUUGUCAUUGGCACACCUCUGACAGGAGAUUUGAUGGACUCAGAGAACAUCGAUCACUCUUGUUUUGCGCCCAUUGGCAUGUAUGCUGGCACAUUGCUGAAAUUGAUUAAGAGAGCCUGUCUUGGGACGUCCUUAUCUGUAACCUUCAGGGAAAGACAAAUUUCUGGGGAAGCAAGCUGAAUGAUUGCUGAAUGAUUUCCAUAUUUAUCUCGUUUGGACCCUUGAGGUAAGCAUGAAUUGAUUAGGCAGAUUACUUUAAGAUUAUAUUACCUAGUUUUAUAAACGACCCAAAGGGCCGUUCUAAUUUUUUUUAAUUGCUUCAAACUGAGCAUUUUAAAACAUGCUAAUGAUCCAUUUUAUUUUGUUCUAUUUAGGAAGCAGAUGUUCAGGUGUGUGUCUGUGUGAAAGUGAAUAGGUUGCAGGUUACAGCAGUCUUAGAGUGUUUUUGAUAUCAUCACAGUACUAAGCAAUUGCAAUAUAUCCUAGCAAUAAAACCACUGGUCUUUUGACAUCAGAAAGACCCUGAAGACUAUUCCAUAUGGUUAAAUAUAGAAAGUUAACAUUUUACCAUUUUAAUCAUCGCUUUAACUUUCUGUUUGUUUGGUGAGUGUAAGCUUCAGUGAGCUUCAUCUGAGCACCUGCAGUCACACUAAGAGGAGAUUAUGAGAUAUUGUUGGGACCCGCUGGGUGCCGAUCCUGUGAAAGUAGAGCCUGUGAAAUGGCUUGAUGAAUGCAAUUUUCUGUCCUGUCUGUGUUGACAUAUGUCCUGUUGAAGCAGGAUGUUUUUGUGAGACAUAAUGAAGCUCUAAACCCA
rnacentral:lncRNA from 12 species